rnacentral:rRNA from 1 species
UGAUCCUGGCUCAGGACGAACGCUGGCGGCGUGCUUACACAUGCAAGUCGAACGGACAGAUUUAGAGCUUGCUUUAAAUCUGUUAGUGGCGGACGGGUGAGUAACGCGUGGGUAACCUGCCUUAAACAGAGGGAUAGCAAGUGGAAACGCUUGGUAAUACCACAUAAAGCCUAAGCAUUGCAUAAUGAAUAGGUGAAAGGAGGAAUCCGGUUUAAGAUGGGCCCGCGUCCAAUUAGCUAGUUGGUGAGGUAAGAGCGCACCAAGGCGACGAUUGGUAGCCGAACUGAGAGGUUGAGCGGCCACAUUGGGACUGAGAUACGGCCCAGACUCCUACGGGAGGCAGCAGUGGGGAAUAUUGCGCAAUGGGGGGAACCCUGACGCAGCGACGCCGCGUGAAGGAAGAAGGUCUUCGGAUUGUAAACUUCCUUGAUUAGGGAAGAGGAAGGACGGUACCUAAAGAACAAGCCACGGCUAACUACGUGCCAGCAGCCGCGGUAAUACGUAGGUGGCAAGCGUUGUCCGGAAUUACUGGGUGUAAAGGGCGAGUAGGUGGAUCACUAAGUCAGAGGUGAAAACCCAUGGCUAAACUGUGGGAUAGCAACUGAAACUAGAGAUCUUGAGUACUGGAGAGGGAAGCGGAAUUCCUAGUGUAGCGGUGAAAUGCGUAGAUAUUAGGAGGAACACCAGUGGCGAAGGCGGCUUCCUGGACAGAGACUGACACUGAGGCGCGAAAGCGUGGGGAGCGAACAGGAUUAGAUACCCUGGUAGUCCACGCUGUAAACGAUGGAUACUAGGUGUAGGUGGUAAGAAACCAUCUGUGCCGGAGUAAACACAAUAAGUAUCCCACCUGGGGAGUGCAGCCGCAAGGUUGAAACUCAAAGGAAUUGACGGGGGCCCGCACAAGCAGUGGAGUAUGUGGUUUAAUUCGAAGCAACGCGAAGAACCUUACCAGGGCUUGACAUCCCUUGAACUAUCUAGAGAUAGGUAGGGCCUACGGGACAAGGAGACAGGUGGUGCAUGGUUGUCGUCAGCUCGUGUCGUGAGAUGUUGGGUUAAGUCCCGCAACGAGCGCAACCCUUAUAGCUAGUUGCCAGCAAUAAGAUGGGGACUCUAGCGAGACAGCCGUUGAGAAAACGGAGGAAGGAAAGGAUGACGUCAAAUCAUCAUGCCCCUUAUGCUCUGGGCUACACACGUACUACAAUGGCUACUACAGAGGGAAGCGAAGCCAGGAGGCGGAGCAAAUCUCAAAAAGGUAGUCCCAGUUCAGAUUGUAGGCUGAAACUCGCCUGCAUGAAGUAGGAAUUGCUAGUAAUUGCAGGUCAGAAUACUGCAGUGAAUACGUUCCCGGGCCUUGUACACACCGCCCGUCACACCAUGAGAGUCUGCAACACCCGAAGUCAGUAGUUUAACCGAAAGGAGACACUGCCGAAGGUGGGGUAGGUGAUUGGGGUGAAGUC